rnacentral:rRNA from 1 species
AUUGAACGCUGGCGGCAUGCCUUACACAUGCAAGUCGAACGGCAGCGGACCUUCGGGUGCCGGCGAGUGGCGAACGGGUGAGUAAUGCAUCGGAACGUGCCAUUGAGUGGGGGAUAACGUAGCGAAAGUUGCGCUAAUACCGCAUAUUCUGUGCGCAGGAAAGCAGGGGACCGCAAGGCCUUGCGCUCUUUGAGCGGCCGAUGUCAGAUUAGCUAGUUGGUGAGGUAACGGCUUACCAAGGCGACGAUCUGUAGCGGGUCUGAGAGGAUGAUCCGCCACACUGGAACUGAGACACGGUCCAGACUCCUACGGGAGGCAGCAGUGGGGAAUUUUUGGCAAUGGGGGAAACCCUGACCAAGCAACGCCGCGUGGAUGAUGAAGUAUCUUGGUACGUAAAAUCCUUUCGGCAGGGACGAAUACAAUUGACGGUACCUGCGGAAGAAGCUCCGGCCAACUCCGUGCCAGCAGCCGCGGUAAAUCUCG